UACGGGGGGGGCAAGCGUUGUUCGGAAUUACUGGGCGUAAAGCGCACGUAGGCGGCUCUUUAAGUCGGGGGUGAAAUCCUGGAGCUCAACUCCAGAACUGCCUUCGAUACUGUAGAGCUUGAGUUCGGGAGAGGUGAGUGGAACUGCGAGUGUAGAGGUGAAAUUCGUAGAUAUGCGCAAGAACACCAGUGGCGAAGGCGGCUCACUGGCCCGGUACUGACGCUGAGGUGCGAAAGCGUGGGGAGCAAACAGG
rnacentral:rRNA from 1 species